rfam:Larimichthys crocea isolate SSNF unplaced genomic scaffold scaffold324, whole genome shotgun sequence.
AAAUGUAGUAGACUUUAAGUAUACGUGUGGAACCAGAGAGUAUACUAAGUACACUACGUUUAU